UACGUAGGGUGCGAGCGUUAAUCGGAAUUACUGGGCGUAAAGCGUGCGCAGGCGGUUUUGUAAGCCAGAUGUGAAAGCCCCGGGCUUAACCUGGGAAUGGCAUUUGGGACUGCAAGGCUGGAGUGUGGCAGAGGAGACUGGAAUUCCUGGUGUAGCAGUGAAAUGCGUAGAUAUCAGGAGGAAUACCGAUGGCGAAGGCAGGUCUCUGGGCUGACACUGACGCUCAUGCACGAAAGCGUGGG
rnacentral:rRNA from 1 species